AGUUAAAGUGAACACAUCAUGGCACUUAAAGCUGCCUUUUUGUUCUUUGGAACAAUCCUUAUCUCGCUUCAAUUUUGCCACGUAUCUUGUGACUCAGUUGGAGAUGUUGAAGUCACAGUUGAUGCUACUUCAGGCCGUUUAUCUUUUGAAUGUUCACGAACAAUCGAAAAAAUCAAUGACUACAAAUGUAAAUUUCAAUUAAGCAAUGGAAUAUUCAUCGAGUACAAAUCUCAAAAUAAUGGUCAACAAGUAAAUGUCACUACACCUGUAAAGUAUCAAAUAAGCCACCCUGCGCCCGCUCAAGUGAUAAAUGGUAAAAAAAUUUGUAAGAUUGAAGUUGAUCCACCACUUGAAAAACUGAAUCAAAGUGAUAUCUGGAAAUGUUGGAUUAUAACUCGCGAAAAAACCUUUGGAAAUCAUC
rnacentral:lncRNA from 1 species